rfam:Ipomoea nil DNA, scaffold: scaffold2782, cultivar: Tokyo-kokei standard.
GGUCCCGAAGCUUAGUUGGUUAGAGCGUUGGUUUUAUGAGCCGAAGGUCGCGGGUUCGAGCUUUGCCGGGACCA